rnacentral:rRNA from 1 species
UACGUAGGGUGCGAGCGUUAAUCGGAAUUACUGGGCGUAAAGCGUGCGCAGGCGGUUUUGUAAGCCAGAUGUGAAAGCCCCGGGCUUAACCUGGGAAUGGCAUUUGGGACUGCAAGGCUUGAGUGCGGCAGAGGAGACUGGAAUUCCUGGUGUAGCAGUGAAAUGCGUAGAUAUCAGGAGGAAUACCGAUGGCGAAGGCAGGUCUCUGGGCUGACACUGACGCUCAUGCACGAAAGCGUGGGGAG